rnacentral:lncRNA from 1 species
UCAUACUACAUAAGUACAGUAUAGGUAGCUUCAUACUACAUAAGUACAGUAUAGGUAGCUUCAUACUACAUAAGAACAGUAUAGGUAGCUUCAUAGGACAUAAGUACAGUAAAGGUAGAUUCAUAGUACAUAAGUACAGUAUAGGUAGCUUCAUAGUACAUAAGUGCAGUAAAGGUAGCUUCAUACUACAUAAGUGCAGUAAAGGUAGCUUCAUAGGACAUAAGUGCAGUAAAGGUAGCUUCAUACUACAUAAGUGCAGUAUAGGUAGCUUCAUAGGACAUAAGUGCAGUAUAAGUAGCUUUAUAGUACAUAAGUACAGUAUAGGUAGCUUCAUAGAACAUAAGUGCAGUAUAGGUAGCUUCAUAGUACAUAAGUACAGUAAAGGUAGCUUCAUACUACAUAAGUGCAGUAUAAGUAGCUUUAUAGUACAUAAGUACAGUAUAGGUAGCUUAAUAGAACAUAAGUGCAGUAUAGGUAGCUUCAUAGAACAUAAGUGCAGUAUAGGUAGCUUCAUAGGACAUAAGUGCAGUAUAAGUAACUUCAUAGUACAUAAGUACAGUAUAGGUAGCUUCAUAGGACAUAAGUACAAGAUAGGUAGCUUCAUAGUACAUAAGUACAGUGUAGGUAGCUUCAUGGGACAUAAGUGCAGUAUAGGUAGCUUCAUAGGACAUAAGUACAGUAUAGGUAGCUUCAUAGUA